UAGGGAAUCUUCCGCAAUGGGCGAAAGCCUGACGGAGCAACGCCGCGUGAGUGAUGAAGGUCUUCGGAUCGUAAAACUCUGUUAUUAGGGAAGAACAAAUGUGUAAGUAACUAUGCACGUCUUGACGGUACCUAAUCAGAAAGCCACGGCUAACUACGUGCCAGCAGCCGCGGUAAUACGUAGGUGGCAAGCGUUAUCCGGAAUUAUUGGGCGUAAAGCGCGCGUAGGCGGUUUUUUAAGUCUGAUGUGAAAGCCCACGGCUCAACCGUGGAGGGUCAUUGGAAACUGGAAAACUUGAGUGCAGAAGAGGAAAGUGGAAUUCCAUGUGUAGCGGUGAAAUGCGCAGAGAUAUGGAGGAACACCAGUGGCGAAGGCGACUUUCUGGUCUGUAACUGACGCUAAUGUGCGAAAGCGUGGAGAUCAAACAGG
rnacentral:rRNA from 1 species